GCCUCUCCACGCCCCGGGGGGAAGGUUCCGGGGACAGGAUGUCGGGGGGAGCAGCUCACUCCAGGUGCAGGAGAGGGAUUUAACAGGGAGGAGGACGCAGCUGAGGCUGAGGAAGGUUCAAAGAGGAGGCACAGAGCCUCCAGGAAUUGAUUCUUACUCCAUGCCAAGAGAAGAAACUGGCUAUUCAGUGAGGAUUUGAUAAGUCACGGAUGUCUCGGAUCGGGUCGACAGGAUUCUUAAGGGAGAGAGAAGAACAACAGUAGCGUAGCUGUGUUUCUGAAAGAUUGAAGGGAAAAAGCCACGCAGUUAAAGGCUCUGCCAAAACAGAAGUAAGCCGAGCGAGGAAAGUUGAACAAGUGGGCCACAAACAGAAGAAAGAAUUGCUGACUGGGUAGUCCAGUGUCAUCAGAACGGAAGAACAGUGACUCGACGUGGCAAAAAUGAAGCAAAAAAAGAUGAAUACAGUGAUUUCAAAGCCAGUGAUGGAUAGUACAGUAGGUUUAUGAAAAUAUAUGAUUUAGUGCUCAGACAGAAAACCAUGAUUGCCCAAAUUAAUGACAAGUUAAUCUGGUUUCAUCACUUUGUAAUCACAAGUUGGAAGAAAAACGGGUACAAGCUCUCGUGCAUCGGCAACACAGUCCAAACAAUGUACAGGGCAGGUGAAUUGGCCAUGCUAAAUUGCCCACAAUGUUAGGUUCAUUAGUCAGGAGUAAAUGUAA